rnacentral:rRNA from 1 species
AUUGAACGCUGGCGGCAGGCCUAACACAUGCAAGUCGAGCGAGCGGCGGACGGGUGAGUAAGGUAUGUGGAUCUGCGUGAUGGAGGGGGUUAACUACUGGAAACGGUUGCUAAUACCGCAUACUUUCGGAUGGGCCGAAUUGGGAUUAGCUAGUAGGUGGGGUAAAGGCUCACCUAGGCGACGAUCUCUAGCUGGUCUGAGAGGAUGAUCAGCCACACUGGAACUGAGACACGGUCCAGACUCCUACGGGAGGCAGCAGUGGGGAAUAUUGGACAAUGGGCGCAAGCCUGAUGCAGCCAUGCCGCGUGUAUGAAGAAGGCCUUCGGGUUGUAAAGUACUUUCAGCGGGGAGGCGUUACCCGCAGAAGAAGCACCGGCUAACUCCGUGCCAGCAGCCGCGGUAAUAC